rnacentral:rRNA from 1 species
GAUUAGAUACCCUGGUAGUGCACGCCGUAAACGAUGUCGACUUGGAGGUUGUUCCCUUGAGGAGUGGCUUCCGGAGCUAACGCGUUAAGUCGACCGCCUGGGGAGUACGGCCGCAAGGUUAAAACUCAAAUGAAUUGACGGGGGCCCGCACAAGCGGUGGAGCAUGUGGUUUAAUUCGAUGCAACGCGAAGAACCUUACCUACUCUUGACAUCCACGGAAUUCGGCAGAGAUGCCUUAGUGCCUUCGGGAACCGUGAGACAGGUGCUGCAUGGCUGUCGUCAGCUCGUGUUGUGAAAUGUUGGGUUAAGUCCCGCAACGAGCGCAACCCUUAUCCUUUGUUGCCAGCGAUUCGGUCGGGAACUCAAAGGAGACUGCCGGUGAUAAACCGGAGGAAGGUGGGGAUGACGUCAAGUCAUCAUGGCCCUUACGAGUAGGGCUACACACGUGCUACAAUGGCGCAUACAAAGAGAAGCGACCUCGCGAGAGCAAGCGGACCUCAUAAAGUGCGUCGUAGUCCGGAUCGGAGUCUGCAACUCGACUCCGUGAAGUCGGAAUCGCUAGUAAUCGUGGAUCAGAAUGCCACGGUGAAUACGUUCCCGGGCCUUGUACACACCGCCCGUCACACCAUGGGAGUGGGUUGCAAAAGAAGUAGGUAGCUUAACCUUCGGGAGGGCGCUUACCACUUUGUGAUUCAUGACUGGGGUGAAGUCGUAACAAGG